rnacentral:rRNA from 1 species
ACCUGCCCUUGGGUCCGGCAUAACCCCGGGAAACUGGGGAUAAUUCCGGAUAACGCAUAUAUGCUGGAAUGCUUUAUGCGUCAAAUGGAUUCGUCUGCCCAAGGAUGGGUCUGCGGCCUAUCAGGUAGUAGUGGGUGUAAUGUACCUACUAGCCGACGACGGGUACGGGUUGUGAGAGCAAGAGCCCGGAGAUGGAUUCUGAGACAUGAAUCCAGGCCCUACGGGGCGCAGCAGGCGCGAAAACUUUACAAUGCGGGAAACCGUGAUAAGGGGACACCGAGUGCCAGCAUCAUAUGCUGGCUGUCCGGGUGUGUAAAAUACACCCGUUAGCAAGGGCCGGGCAAGACCGGUGCCAGCCGCCGCGGUAACACCGGCGGCCCGAGUGGUGAUCGUGAUUAUUGGGUCUAAAGGGUCCGUAGCCGGUUUGGUCAGUCCUCCGGGAAAUCUGACGGCUUAACCGUUAGGCUUUCGGAGGAUACUGCCAGGCUUGGAACCGGGAGAGGUAAGAGGUACUACAGGGGUAGGAGUGAAAUCUUGUAAUCCCUGUGGGACCACCUGUGGCGAAGG